GCGGAAGUGACGAUGUAGUUGAGGCGCCGGGAUCGCGGGUGACGUCAACAUGGCGGCCGUCAGCUGGAAGCCGUUCGUGUACGGAGGCCUGGCGUCCAUCACCGCCGAGUUCGGCACUUUUCCAAUAGACCUGACAAAAACCCGACUGCAGGUCCAGGGCCAAACACUUGAUUUGCGCUAUAAGGAGAUUAAAUACCGAGGAAUGCUGCAUGCCCUACUUCGAAUAUGUAAAGAGGAAGGAUUGAGGGCUCUGUAUUCUGGCAUUAGCCCAGCUCUGUUGCGGCAAGCAUCCUACGGAACCAUCAAAAUCGGAACAUACCAAAGUUUGAAACGCUUGUUUGUCAGCUGCCCAGAAGAUGAAGCCCUGCUUGUAAAUGUUGGCUGUGGAAUUCUUGCUGGAGUAGUUUCAUCCUCGAUUGCGAACCCUACAGAUGUCCUAAAGAUUCGGAUGCAAGCUCAAAGUGGGCUUUGUCAGGGAAGCAUGAUUGGUAAUUUUAUUAAUAUCUACCAGCAAGAAGGUACCAGAGGCUUGUGGAGAGGAGUCAGCCUGACAGCUCAGCGAGCUGCCAUUGUCGUGGGGGUGGAGCUACCCAUCUACGAUGUGACGAAAAAAUAUCUCAUUUUGUCUGGCGUUAUGGGAGACACAGUUUACACGCACUUUCUCUCGAGCUUCACCUGUGGUUUGGCUGGUGCCUUGGCAUCCAAUCCCGUUGAUGUAGUACGCACUCGCAAGAUGAACCAGAGAGUGGCUUUGGGGAGCCAGGUUGAUUAUAAAGGGACCCUGGACAGUCUUGUGCAGAUCUGUAAAACGGAAGGUUUCUUUGCUCUGUACAAAGGAUUCUGGCCAAACUGGUUACGGCUUGGGCCCUGGAAUAUCAUCUUCUUCAUUACGUAUGAGCAACUGCGAAAACUCCCGAUCUAAGCUAUAUUCUGCUUGUGCUGCUGCCUGGCAUUUGUGUGUUGGAGGAAGGAAGCCUUUUCUUCCACCCUUGCCUCAAGAUUUAUGCAUGAAUGUUCCUGCAUUCGAGUUCAAUGAAAUUGUGGGGAAAGAAGAUUUGUGCACUCGCUGAAGACCCACAGGAGAGAAGACUUUGCCGUCCAGUUUGAAUGUGCUCACCGGGGCAUUGACCUUCAUCCAACUCUUACAGAUAAAGUGCAAAUACACAUGUAAACACACGUGUAGGCAGAUUCCAUUCCACGUACACACAGGCCUGCACACACAGGAAGGCGUGUGCUUUGUGCAGUUAACGAUAAAGAUGCUGCUCGACUGGUUGGGUUUUUGUUUCAAGUUUCUGUCGACUAAUCAAGCCUUUUUCACCAUUCAGUAUGAAAGUGAAGGAAAUAUAUUAUAUUACCUUGGCUUAAUAAUCAUUCAAUUCUAUUUAAUGUUAACAAUUGAUUUAACAUUGAUUGUUGAAUAUCGAAGUGAUUCUCUACCAUUACCUGUAGAACUUUUUGUUUAUUUAACUCUUCAUAUUCCAGCAUCUGCCCUCUAUUGAGUGUGGUUUUAGGUUUUCCCAGCUGUCAGUACCUCCAAGUUGCUUCACAGCUCUUUGCAGCUUAUGAGCUUCCAACUUUUGUACAGCCUAUACAUACAGAACAUUUGAGUGGCCAGUGUGAUUGCUGCAGGAUUACAGGUACCUACCUUCUGCUGGUGGAAACUCUGAAUGACUGAGAUCACCUUCUGUGGUUUAAAAUAUAUAAUAUAUAUAUAGCCCAAUCACCACAUGUCUAACCUGUGAACAGUUCAGGUGACAAGCAGGAACGGAAUCUUGUAAUCUGGGGUGGACCUGAAUGUUAUUUAGUUCUUGAAAACUUAAAUGUUUUCACCAUUUCCCCACCAAUCUUCUGAAUUCUAGAGAAAACAUUUCAAGUUGAUAGAAUUGAAUAUUUAGCCCCUUGGUAGCAUUGUGAUAUAUCCACAGCCCUCCAAGGCAACCGAGCUUUGCUUUCUCUCCAGUAUAUUGUUUAGGUUUUAGUUGCAUUACGUUUUCCAGAAACACCUUCUAAUAAUCUUUCAUUUUCCAUAUUAGAUUUGCUCCAGCUUCUGUGACAACUCAAUGCCAUCAUGUCAUCAUUUUAGCUAUUUAGCAGAUCUUCCUUCUUGAAUGAUUACAUUGAAUUGUAUUACAAUAUGAUCACAAUCAAUUAAUGACGGCAUUGUAAGGUUAUUAUUUAGUUGAAUAUAAUUUAUUGUCGCAUGUACUGAGAUUAUCAAAAUCAAGUUCAACGCUUCUUUCAUUUGGCCAAGAUAGUUGUAAGUACGAGACAUCAAGUCAUUAAAAAAUGUUUGAGCUACUGAAGCUAAAUGUUACUGUACUGUACGUCUCGAGCCUCUUGGGGAUAGUUAUUUAGAAUCAUUGGACAAUAGUGGCAGCGCCUGUGUCCGUCCAAGGUCAAUGCAAUGCUUUCAGCUGAGCACUGGAUUUUGUAUGUUACAAUAUAUUGUUGCUAUAAUUUGCUGUUGCAGUUUUGUUAAGACUAUGUGGCAUGAUGUGAGUAAAUUCUUGACCCGACAGAGUAAAUUGAAUGGUGUGAUUCUUUUGCAGUACGUAUUGUUAGCCACUGUACUGAGCUCACGCCAGUCAAACUUAAUGCUGCAUAGAUAUUUCAUCUGUCCUGUUUUGGAAUAGAUUUGUAAAUGUACAAAUAACUGUCCAAUCCCUAAUAUUUUGUAUUGUGUAUAUAAAGAUUGUGGGGAUUGAAUGUACAAUUGGAUUCCUGGAGGAACUCAGCAGGUCAGGCAGCAUGGAGGGGAAUGGACAGAUAACAUUACCAGUCAUGUAUCUUUGGGCAUCUGUCUGUUCCAUCCACAGAUGUUGCCUAAUCUGCUGAGUUCCUUCAGUGAUCUGCUUUUUGCUCAAGAUUCCAGCAUCUAUAGUCUCUUGUGUCUCCAUCAAAUUAGAUCUGCUCUGUUCACUCUGCAUCACUUGAUCUUGUAUAAUAAUAUAAAAUAAUGAACACACAA